UACGGAGGGUGCAAGCGUUAUCCGGAUUCACUGGGUUUAAAGGGUGCGUAGGCGGGUUGGUAAGUCCGUGGUGAAAUCUCCGAGCUUAACUCGGAAACUGCCGUGGAUACUAUCAAUCUUGAAUAUCGUGGAGGUAAGCGGAAUAUGUCAUGUAGCGGUGAAAUGCUUGGAUAUGACAUAGAACACCAAUUGCGUAGGCAGCUUACUACACGAUCAUUGACGCUGAGGCACGAAAGCGUGGGGAGCAAACAGG
rnacentral:rRNA from 1 species